rnacentral:misc_RNA from 1 species
UUUCCGUAGGUGAACCUGCGGAAGGAUCAUUAAAGUUAUAGUCCCCUGGCCCUCUGGGCUGGGGUCUUCUAUACCACCCUUUGUUUAUUACACCUUUGUUGCUUUGGCAGGCCUGCCUCCGGGCUGCUGGCUCCGGCCGGCGAGCGUCUGCCAGAGGACCUAAACUCUGUUUGUCUAUAACGUCUGAGUACUAUAUAAUAGUUAAAACUUUCAACAACGGAUCUCUUGGUUCUG